GUGAGUCAUCGAAUCUUUGAACGCAUAUUGCGCUCUUUGGUAUUCCGAAGAGCAUGCUUGUUUGAGUAUCAGUAAACACCUCAAAGUCUUCAAUUUGUUUUGAAUGGCUUUGGACUUGAGCAAUCCCAACACCAAUCUUUUUGAGAUCGGUGGCGGGUUGCUUGAAAUGCAGGUGCAGCUGGACAUUCUCCUGAGCUAAAAGCAUAUUCAUUUAGUCCCGUCAAACGGAUUAUUACUUUUGCUGCAGCUAACAUAAAGGGAGUUUGACCGUAUUGGCUGACUGAUGCAGGAUUUCACAAG
rnacentral:misc_RNA from 1 species